rnacentral:rRNA from 1 species
GACGAACGCUGGCGGCGUGCCUAAUACAUGCCAGUCGAACGCACAGUUUAUACCGUAGCUUGCUACACCAUAGACUGUGAGUUGCGAACGGGUGAGUAACGCGUAGGUAACCUGCCUGGCAGCGGGGGAUAACUAUUGGAAACGAUAGCUAAUACCGCAUAAUAUUAAUUAUUGCAUGAUAAUUAAUUGAAAGGUGCAAUUGCACCACUACCAGAUGGACCUGCGUUGUAUUAGCUAGUAGGUGAGGUAACGGCUCACCUAGGCGACGAUACAUAGCCGACCUGAGAGGGUGAGCGGCCACACUGGGACUGAGACACGGCCCAGACUCCUACGGGAGGCAGCAGUAGGGAAUCUUCGGCAAUGGACGAAAGUCUGACCGAGCAACGCCGCGUGAGUGAAGAAGGUUUUCGGAUCGUAAAGCUCUGUUGUAAGAGAAGAACGGGGGUGAGAGUGGAAAGUUCACACUGUGACGGUAUCUUACCAGAAAGGGACGGCUAACUACGUG